rnacentral:misc_RNA from 1 species
GAUGAAGAACGUAGCGAAAUGCGAUACUUGGUGUGAAUUGCAGAAUCCCGUGAACCAUCGAGUCUUUGAACGCAAGUUGCGCCCGAAGCCGUCAGGCCGAGGGCACGCCUGCCUGGGCGUCACACGCCGUUGCCCCCCCGCGCCCCGCACCCAACUCUUUGGGAGCGACCGCGGGGCGGGCUGAUGAUGGCCUCCCGUGCGCUCCGCCGCGCGGUUGGCCCAAAUACCGAGUCCCCGGCGACGUGCGCCACGACGAUCGGUGGUUGAGAGACCUCUGUCGCAAGUCGUGCGCGCCCGUCGCGUCACGCGGGCUCGCAUAGCGCCUCGCGCCGCACCCGGUGCGGAGCUUUCAACGCGACCCCAGGUCAGGCGGGGUUACCCGCUGAAUUUAAGCAUAUCAAUAAGCGGAGGGA